AUGCCGCUGCCCCACUGCGGAUGUCCCUUCCCUGGGCAGGACUCACCCCCCUCCUCAGCAGACCCGGGCGAAAGAAAAAAAAGAAAAAGGGAAGGAAAGGAAGAGGAGCCCCCCCCCCUCCCCCUUCAGGAACCAGCUCGGCGCACGGAACCCUACAGGGAGCUAGCCGGGGAGCGCCUUUUGCCUCGGGACCUGCGUACAAACCCCGCUGCCGCUGCUCCCGGGUCUCCCUGCUCGCAGCCUCCUACGCUCCCCUCUAUGUCACUGCCUCUCGGGGAAAAUGGCGGCCGCUCUCCCCUCCCUCCCCCUGCACGGGGCUCACCCGCCCCGCCUGGCAGGGGCAGGGUUACCAAGGCGAAGCCAAGCGGCCGCCAUUUUGCUUGUGGGCUGCUGCUGCUGCUGUUGAUGUUGCUGCGCGCCCGCCGCCCGCCGAGCCCUCCGUGUCCAUUUUGCAACUCAGCCCCGCGGCCGAGGGAGCGCAGCGAGGGGCGGGGGAUCGCUAAAACUCCGUCCUCGGCUGCUGCUUCUUUCCCCCUUCCCCCCCCGCCUCCGCCUCGGCUUCCUCCUCACGCCCGGCAUGCCGCUCGGCCCUACCUAUCCUUGGCGGAUCUCAACCCGAGGGGGCGCUAUGGCCGGGGCUGCUCGCUCGGGUUCUGCCUGUUGUUGCGCGAAAUGGCGGCCGGCGUCUUGGCAGGAGUAUUUCAAAUGAGGCUAACUACUGUGAACAGAAAGAAAAAUCGUGCUGCUGGAAGAUGGAUUAUACGGAGCAAAUUCAAUGUACCGAAUUCUACACGUCUUAGAGCUCUUUCAUCAAGUGACUAUGGUUACUAG
rnacentral:lncRNA from 1 species